UAACGCGUGAGGAACCUGCCUCAAAGAGGGGGACAACAGUUGGAAACGACUGCUAAUACCGCAUAAGCCCACAGCUCGGCAUCGAGCAGAGGGAAAAGGAGUGAUCCGCUUUGAGAUGGCCUCGCGUCCGAUUAGCUAGUUGGUGAGGUAAUGACCCACCAAGGCGACGAUCGGUAGCCGGACUGAGAGGUUGAACGGCCACAUUGGGACUGAGACACGGCCCAG
rnacentral:rRNA from 1 species